CACGAACGCUGGCGGCAGGCUUAACACAUGCAAGUCGAGCGCCCCGCAAGGGGAGCGGCAGACGGGUGAGUAACGCGUGGGAAUCUACCCAUCUCUACGGAAUAACGCAUGGAAACGUGUGCUAAUACCGUAUACGUCCUUCGGGAGAAAGACUUAUCGGAGAUGGAUGAGCCCGCGUUGGAUUAGCUAGUUGGUGGGGUAAAGGCCUACCAAGGCGACGAUCCAUAGCUGGUCUGAGAGGAUGAUCAGCUACACUGGGACUGAGACACGGCCCAGACUCCUACGGGAGGCAGCAGUGGGGAAUAUUGGACAAUGGGCGCAAGCCUGAUCCAGCCAUGCCGCGUGAGUGAUGAAGGCCCUAGGGUUGUAAAGCUCUUUCACCGGUGAAGAUAAUGACGGUAACCGGAGAAGAAGCCCCGGCUAACUUCGUGCCAGCCGCCGCAGUAAUAC
rnacentral:rRNA from 1 species